rnacentral:rRNA from 1 species
GGCGAACGGGUGAGUAACACAUCGGAACGUACCCUAUCGUGGGGGAUAACGAAUCGAAAGAUUCGCUAAUACCGCAUACGACCUGAGGGUGAAAGCGGGGGAUCGCAAGACCUCGCGCGAUUGGAGCGGCCGAUGUCGGAUUAGCUAGUUGGUGAGGUAAAGGCUCACCAAGGCGACGAUCCGUAGCUGGUCUGAGAGGACGACCAGCCACACUGGGACUGAGACACGGCCCAGACUCCUACGGGAGGCAGCAGUGGGGAAUUUUGGACAAUGGGGGCAACCCUGAUCCAGCCAUUCCGCGUGAGUGAAGAAGGCCUUCGGGUUGUAAAGCUCUUUCGGCAGGAACGAAACGGUGGAGGCUAAUACCUUUCAUCAAUGACGGUACCUGAAGAAGAAGCACCGGCUAACUACGUGCCAGCAGCCGCGGUAAUACGUAGGGUGCGAGCGUUAAUCGGAAUUACUGGGCGUAAAGCGUGCGCAGGCGGCUUUGUAAGACAGGUGUGAUAUCCCCGGGCUUAACCUGGGAACUGCGCUUGUGACUGCAAGGCUUGAGUGUGGCAGAGGGGGGUGGAAUUCCACGUGUAGCAGUGAAAUGCGUAGAGAUGUAGAGGAACACCGAUGGCGAAGGCAGCCCCCUGGGUCAACACUGACGCUCAUGCACGAAAGCGUGGGUAGCAGACAGGAUUAGAUACCCUGCUAGUCCACGCCCUAAACGAUGCCAACUAGGUGUCGCGGAAGGAGACUUCCUUAGCACCGUAGCUAACGCGUGAAGUGGCCGACUGGGGAGUACGGUCGCGAAG